GUUUUUUGUUUUUUUUGAGACGGAGUCUCGCUCUGUCGCCCAGACUGGAGUGCAGCGGUGUGAUCUCGGCUCACUGCAAGCUCUGCCUUCCGGAUUCAUGCCAUUCUCCUGCUUCAGCCUCCUGAGUAGCUGGGACUACAGGCGCCCGCCAUUACGCCCGGCUAAUUUUUUUUUUUUUUUUUUUUGUAUUUUUGGUAGAGACGGGGUUUCACUGUGUUAGCUAGAAUGGUCUCGAUCACCUGACCUCGUGAUCCGCCCGCCCCGGCCUCCCAAAGUGCUGAGAUUACAAGCGUGAGCCACCACACCCUGCCGAUGGUUUUAUUAAUAUAAGGGACUUUACCCCUUUGCUCAGGACUUCUACCUCCUGCUGCCAUGUGAAGGACAUAUUUGCUUCACCUUUCACCAUGAUUGUAAGUUUCCUGAGGCUUCCCCAGCCCUGCAGAACUCUUCUAUUGCAGAUGUGAAGUUUGGCAUUUCUUUGCUCACUCUUUUACUGGGAAACUCUUCUAGCGGAAAGCCUGUCAUCUGUUGUGAAGGAGAGCUGGUGUCGACUUGAAGCAACAGAGUUGGUGGUCCAGUGGCCAUUGUCCUGUGUUAGGAGCAGGUGGUCUCGCUAAGCUCCAUGUGUUUGGAAAUUUCUCUGACCAGUGCUUGUUCUGCUAAAGGAAGAAGAGCUCAAGCUGCACUCCGUGUUUCCAGGAUCCCAUCCAGGAUACAUUACCUUUAGUCAUCAUGUCUCCUGUGGCUCUUCUUGGCUGUGACAGUUUCUCAGCUUUCCCAGUUUUAAUGAACUUGCCAUUUUCAUCACAUUGUACCAAGACCUACUAUCAAUGUUACUUACGACUAGUGAUGCUGACCUUGAUCACCUGGCUGAGGUAGUUCUUGUUAGGCUUCUCCACUGUCGAGUUGCCCUCCCCAUCCCCCCUUUCCAUAUUGUACUCUUUGAAAGAAAGUCACUAUGUGCAGCCCUUCCUUAAAAAUAUUAAAAUGAACUAGCUUAAUUAAGUUCUUUCUUACAUUUAGGUGUAAAUACCUCUGAGGUUUUUUCUUUUAAAAAAUGAUUAUCUAUGUAAUACAUACUCACUGCACAAGACUUUAAAAAUGCAAGAAAAGUAUAAAGCAGCAGCAAAUAGAACUACCCAUAAUUCUAUCUCUCACAAGCAACCAUUUCUAGCUUUUUGUCUUAUUUCCUUCCAGUUUUUUUCUUCUGCAUAAAAUAACUUUUUAUUUCUAUUUAUUUAUUUUUUUGAGACAGAGUUUCACUCUGUCACCAGGCUGGAGUGCAGUGGCACAAUCUCAGCUCGCUACAACCUCUACCUCCCGAGUUCAAGGGAUUCUCUUGCCUCAGCCUCCUGAGUAGCUGGGACUACAGGCGCGUACCACCAUGCCCAGCUAAUUUUUGUAUUUUUAGUAGAGACGGGGUUUCACCAUGUUGGCCAGGAUGGUCUUGAUCUCUUGACCUU